rnacentral:rRNA from 1 species
AGCGAACGCUGGCGGCAGGCCUAACACAUGCAAGUCGAACGAUCCUUCGGGAUAGUGGCGGACGGGUGAGUAACACGUGGGAACGUGCCCUUUGGUUCGGAACAACUCAGGGAAACUUGAGCUAAUACCGAAUGUGCCCUUCGGUGGAAAGAUUUAUCGCCAUUGGAGCGGCCCGCGUCUGAUUAGCUAGUUGGUGAGGUAAAGGCUCACCAAGGCUACGAUCAGUAGCUGGUCUGAGAGGAUGAUCAGCCACAUUGGGACUGAGACACGGCCCAAACUCCUACGGGAGGCAGCAGUGGGGAAUCUUGCGCAAUGGGCGAAAGCCUGACGCAGCCAUGCCGCGUGAAUGAUGAAGGUCUUAGGAUUGUAAAAUUCUUUCACCGGGGACGAUAAUGACGGUACCCGGAGAAGAAGCCCCGGCUAACUUCGUGCCAGCAGCCGCGGU